rnacentral:rRNA from 1 species
GAUGAACGCUGGCGGCGUGCCUAAUACAUGCAAGUCGAGCGAACUGAUUAGAAGCUUGCUUCUAUGACGUUAGCGGCGGACGGGUGAGUAACACGUGGGCAACCUGCCUGUAAGACUGGGAUAACUUCGGGAAACCGAAGCUAAUACCGGAUAGGAUCUUCUCCUUCAUGGGAGAUGAUUGAAAGAUGGUUUCGGCUAUCACUUACAGAUGGGCCCGCGGUGCAUUAGCUAGUUGGUGAGGUAACGGCUCACCAAGGCAACGAUGCAUAGCCGACCUGAGAGGGUGAUCGGCCACACUGGGACUGAGACACGGCGCAGACUCCUACGGGAGGCAGCAGUAGGGAAUCUUCCGCAAUGGACGAAAGUCUGACGGAGCAACGCCGCGUGAGUGAUGAAGGCUUUCGGGUCGUAAAACUCUGUUGUUAGGGAAGAACAAGUACAAGAGUAACUGCUUGUACCUUGACGGUACCUAACCAGAAAGCCACGGCUAACUACGUGCCAGCAGCCGCCGUAAGAC